CCACGACCGCGGUAACGUGCCCGUCAGGCUGUUGUUGGUGGCGCGAAUGGUGCUCAGGCUGGACACGAACGCCCACGACUCCGGCAAGGAGCCCGUGAGGUUGCGCUGGUUCAGCACCACCGUGGUGGGCUGUCCUGCCGUGCACGACACGCCCGUCCACGCAGCCGUGCAGGGGUCGCUGCUGGUGUUCCAGCCCAGAAUCGCAGCCGGCAACGGACUGGCCGUCACCCGCAGGUCCGCAAGCGCAUAGCCAAACGAAGGCGGAGGUGGAGACGGAGGCGCCGGCGAUGGAGGGGCAGGGCUGGGAGGCGCAGGGCUGGGAGGCACAGGAGGCGGAGACGGCGGGGACGGGCACGCCAGACCAACCUGCGUGCCGCUGCUCGUCACCGGACUGCCAGCAGCCCACGGCGUGGGGAUGCUGCCACACAGUGCGCCGUUAUUGUCCAGCCACAGGAGCUGCAGCGCGCCCAUGCCGCCAGGACCAGCCCAGGCGGCCGGAAUGGUCGAGUAGAAGCCGUUGCCCGACAGGUCCAGCUCCGUCAGACGCGUCAGCGCGGACCAAGACACAGGCAGCAGGCCGCCGAGGCCCGGCCCGUUGUUGGCCACGCUGACGUACUCCAGCUGCGUCAUCUGGGAGUACGAGUCCGGAAGCGUGCCCGUCAGCGUGUUGCCGCUCAACGUCACUGAGCGCAGCGUGCGCACUUGCACCAGGCUGGCCGGCAGGGGGCCAGCCAGCCGCGGCGAGGUGGACGGCAGGCUCAGGUCCACCACGUUGCCGCUGCCGUCGCAGCUGACGCCGUACCAGCUGGUGCAUGGGUUCGGAUGCAUCACGUCGUCCCAUGUGCUGAGCGCCGUGGAGUUGCCCAGCUCGUAUUUGACCUGCAGCAGCGCGUUGGCUGCAGUGGGCGGAGCGGGCGGCGCCGGGCUGGGCGGCGCGGGGCUGGGCGGCCGCGGGCUAGGCGGGUCCGGGCUGGGUGGCGUGGGGCUGGGUGGUGCCGGGCUGGGCGGUACAGGCGGCGCGGGGCUGGGCGGCACGGGCGAAGGGGGCGCCGGUGAGGGCGGAGGAGAUGGCGCUGGCGGCUCCGGGCUGGGCGGCAUGGGGGACGGCGGCUCUGGGCUGGGCGGUGCAGGUGAAGGGGGCGCUGGAGACGGCGGCACAGGAGGCGCAGGGCUCGGCGGUACCGGAGGUGCCGGUGACGGUGGCUCUGGGCUGGGCGGUGCAGGUGAAGGGGGCGCUGGAGGCGCAGGGCUGGGAGGAACAGGCGGCGCAGGGCUCGGGGGCGCUGGGCUGGGCGGCACAGGCGACGGAGGUGGGCUGGGAGGCGUAGGCGGAGGCGGCGGGCUGGGACACGUCGCCGGAAUCUGCGUGCCGUUGUACACAUACACCGCAGACGGCACCGCGCCGCACAUCAGCGAGUUGCCACUGAGGUCCACGCGGAACAGACCCGUCAGCACGCUCCAGCCAGAUGGAACAGGCCCGGUCAGCAGAUUCCCGCUCAGGUCCAGCGUGCGCAGGUUGCUCAGCGCAGACCACUCGGCAGGCAGCUGGCCAGAGUACCGGUUGCCCAGCAGCUCCAGGCGAGUCAGAGACGUCAGGACACUCCACGACCGCGGUAACGUGCCCGUCAGGCUGUUGUUGGUGGCGCGAAUGGUGCUCAGGCUGGACACGAACGCCCACGACUCCGGCAAGGAGCCCGUGAGGUUGCGCUGGUUCAGCACCACCGUGGUGGGCUGUCCUGCCGUGCACGACACGCCCGUCCACGCAGCCGUACAGGGGUCGCUGCUGGUGUUCCAGCCCAGAAUCGCAGCCGGCAACGGACUGGCCGUCACCCGCAGGUCCGCAAGCGCAUAGCCAAACGAAGGCGGAGGUGGAGACGGAGGCGCCGGCGACGGAGGGGCAGGGCUGGGAGGCGCAGGGCUGGGAGGCACAGGAGGCGGAGACGGCGGGGACGGGCACGCCAGACCAACCUGCGUGCCGCUGCUCGUCACCGGACUGCCAGCAGCCCACGGCGUGGGGAUGCUGCCACACAGUGCGCCGUUGUUGUCCAGCCACAGAAGCUGCAGCGCGCCCAUGCCGCCAGGACCAGCCCAGGCGGCCGGAAUGGUCGAGUAGAAGCCGUUGCCCGACAGGUCCAGCUCCGUCAGACGCGUCAGCGCGGACCAAGACACAGGCAGCAGGCCGCCGAGGCCCGGCCCGUUGUUGGCCACGCUGACGUACUCCAGCUGCGUCAUCUGGGAGUACGAGUCCGGAAGCGUGCCCGUCAGCGUGUUGCCGCUCAACGUCACUGAGCGCAGCGUGCGCACUUGCACCAGGCUGGCCGGCAGGGGGCCAGCCAGCCGCGGCGAGGUGGACGGCAGGCUCAGGUCCACCACGUUGCCGCUGCCGUCGCAGCUGACGCCGUACCAGCUGGUGCAUGGGUUCGGAUGCAUCACGUCGUCCCACGUGCUGAGCGCCGUGGAGUUGCCCAGCUCGUAUUUGACCUGCAGCAGCGCGUUGGCUGCAGUGGGCGGAGCGGGCGGCGCCGGGCUGGGCGGCGCGGGGCUGGGCGGCCGCGGGCUAGGCGGGUCCGGCCUGGGUGGCGUGGGGCUGGGUGGUGCCGGGCUGGGCGGUACAGGCGGCGCGGGGCUGGGCGGCACGGGCGAAGGGGGCGCCGGUGAGGGCGGAGGAGAUGGCGCUGGCGGCUCCGGGCUGGGCGGCAUGGGGGACGGCGGCUCUGGGCUGGGCGGUGCAGGUGACGGGGGCGCUGGAGACGGCGGCACAGGAGGCGCAGGGCUCGGCGGUACCGGAGGUGCCGGUGACGGUGGCUCUGGGCUGGGCGGUGCAGGUGAAGGGGGCGCUGGAGGCGCAGGGCUGGGAGGAACAGGCGGCGCAGGGCUCGGGGGCGCUGGGCUGGGCGGCUCCGGAGAAGGCGGCACAGGAGGCGCAGGGCUGGGAGGAACAGGCGGCGCAGGGCUCGGAGGCGCUGGGCUGGGCGGCACAGGCGACGGAGGCGGGCUGGGAGGCGUAGGCGGAGGCGGCGGGCUGGGACACGUCGCCGGAAUCUGCGUGCCGUUGUACACAUACACCGCAGACGGCACCGGGCCGCACAUCAGCGAGUUGCCACUGAGGUCCACGCGGAACAGACCCGUCAGCACGCUCCAGCCAGAGGGAACAGGCCCGGUCAACAGAUUCCCACUCAGGUCCAGCGUGCGCAGGUUGCUCAGCGCAGACCACUCGGCAGGCAGCUGGCCAGAGUACCGGUUGCCCAGCAGCUCCAGGCGAGUCAGAGACGUCAGGACACUCCACGACCGCGGUAACGUGCCCGUCAGGCUGUUGUUGGUGGCGCGAAUGGUGCUCAGGCUGGACACGAACGCCCACGACUCCGGCAAGGAGCCCGUGAGGUUGCGCUGGUUCAGCACCACCGUGGUGGGCUGUCCUGCCGUGCACGACACGCCCGUCCACGCAGCCGUACAGGGGUCGCUGCUGGUGUUCCAGCCCAGAAUCGCAGCCGGCAACGGACUGGCCGUCACCCGCAGGUCCGCAAGCGCAUAGCCAAACGAAGGCGGAGGUGGAGACGGAGGCGCCGGCGACGGAGGGGCAGGGCUGGGAGGCGCAGGGCUGGGAGGCACAGGAGGCGGAGACGGCGGGGACGGGCACGCCAGACCAACCUGCGUGCCGCUGCUCGUCACCGGACUGCCAGCAGCCCACGGCGUGGGGAUGCUGCCACACAGUGCGCCGUUGUUGUCCAGCCACAGGAGCUGCAGCGCGCCCAUGCCGCCAGGACCAGCCCAGGCGGCCGGAAUGGUCGAGUAGAAGCCGUUGCCCGACAGGUCCAGCUCCGUCAGACGCGUCAGCGCGGACCAAGACACAGGCAGCAGGCCGCCGAGGCCCGGCCCGUUGUUGGCCACGCUGACGUACUCCAGCUGCGUCAUCUGGGAGUACGAGUCCGGAAGCGUGCCCGUCAGCGUGUUGCCGCUCAACGUCACUGAGCGCAGCGUGCGCACUUGCACCAGGCUGGCCGGCAGGGGGCCAGCCAGCCGCGGCGAGGUGGACGGCAGGCUCAGGUCCACCACGUUGCCGCUGCCGUCGCAGCUGACGCCGUACCAGCUGGUGCAUGGGUUCGGAUGCAUCACGUCGUCCCACGUGCUGAGCGCCGUGGAGUUGCCCAGCUCGUAUUUGACCUGCAGCAGCGCGUUGGCUGCAGUGGGCGGAGCGGGCGGCGCCGGGCUGGGCGGCGCGGGGCUGGGCGGCCGCGGGCUAGGCGGGUCCGGGCUGGGUGGCGUGGGGCUGGGUGGUGCCGGGCUGGGCGGUACAGGCGGCGCCGGGCUGGGCGGCACGGGCGAAGGGGGCGCCGGUGAGGGCGGAGGAGAUGGCGCUGGCGGCUCCGGGCUGGGCGGUGCAGGUGAAGGGGGCGCUGGAGACGGCGGAACAGGAGGCGCAGGGCUCGGCGGUACCGGAGGUGCCGGUGACGGUGGCUCUGGGCUGGGCGGUGCAGGUGAAGGGGGCGCUGGAGGCGCAGGGCUGGGAGGAACAGGCGGCGCAGGGCUCGGGGGCGCUGGGCUGGGCGGCUCCGGAGAAGGCGGCACAGGAGGCGCAGGGCUGGGAGGAACAGGCGGCGCAGGGCUCGGAGGCGCUGGGCUGGGCGGCACAGGCGACGGAGGCGGGCUGGGAGGCGUAGGCGGAGGCGGCGGGCUGGGACACGUCGCCGGAAUCUGCGUGCCGUUGUACACAUACACCGCAGACGGCACCGGGCCGCACAUCAGCGAGUUACCACUGAGGUCCACGCGGAACAGACCCGUCAGCACGCUCCAGCCAGAGGGAACAGGCCCGGUCAACAGAUUCCCGCUCAGGUCCAGCGUGCGCAGGUUGCUCAGCGUAGACCACUCGGCAGGCAGCUGGCCAGAGUACCGGUUGCCCAGCAGCUCCAGGCGAGUCAGAGACGUCAGGACACUCCACGACCGCGGUAACGUGCCCGUCAGGCUGUUGUUGGUGGCGCGAAUGGUGCUCAGGCUGGACACGAACGCCCACGACUCCGGCAAGGAGCCCGUGAGGUUGCGCUGGUUCAGCACCACCGUGGUGGGCUGUCCUGCCGUGCACGACACGCCCGUCCACGCAGCCGUGCAGGGGUCGCUGCUGGUGUUCCAGCCCAGAAUCGCAGCCGGCAACGGACUGGCCGUCACCCGCAGGUCCGCAAGCGCAUAGCCAAACGAAGGCGGAGGUGGAGACGGAGGCGCCGGCGACGGAGGGGCAGGGCUGGGAGGCGCAGGGCUGGGAGGCACAGGAGGCGGAGACGGCGGGGACGGGCACGCCAGACCAAUCUGCGUGCCGCUGCUCGUCAC
rnacentral:lncRNA from 1 species